UAUAUUCUAUUUAAGUUAAAUAACUUAAACCAUUGGAUUAACAAUAAUUGAAACUAUAGGGAUAAUAUUUAAAUAUUAGUUAAGGGGGUUAAAAAGGGUUGUUAGAGGGGUUGGUAACGUGAUUGCUGGUUUUGAGAGAAACGAUUAAGUGGAAAAAAAAAUGACCUCAUUAAAUUAGGUAACGAAAUUGAAAUGAAAUGGACACUUGACCAAGUCUUAAAUCAUAGUCUAAAGUCUUCGAUCCGAUACAGAGAUUUUCCGUGAUACUCGUAAAAUCCUUCUUUCCUCCCUGGCAUGCUUUACUUAAAAGGAGCUCUGACAAAGCAAAUCAAAUUGAUCUCUCGUUGAAAGAAUCACAUAUUUUUCGUUUCGCUCCUCCCUCUCACCUAAAAAAAUGACUUACGCAGUUUUGUAUUUAGGCUUAGUGCAUUUCUCAGACUGAAUUCCUGUCGGGUGGCUGAUGGCAUCGUAAUAUUUUGGUGUGUCUUCUUGUUUGGUUGAAGUCGUAAAAGUCCCGAAAAUCCAAAUGAGUGGCCUUUACUAUCAUUGGAAUACACGACUUUAGACACUUAUCAGUUCCUCUUUUGGUCCGGAUCGUUAGACGAUUCAAGAAUGUUACUCCACUCAGCAAAAUAUGGAGCUGAUUUCGAUCCUCUACAUUUUCACAGUGCCAUAGUUUUAACGAGUGAUAAAACGAAACUUUUCUGUUGCUCAGAAAAAGGGAGGUAUACAAUUUCCGAAUUCCAGGCGUCUGAAGAUUCCAAGAGGUGGGAAUUCGUCAAAUCUUUACCGUAUCCUUGCAAUGAGACCGUGGAGACACUGUUGCAACUCAAAUUUGAUAAAGGAGAAAGUGUCCUUUUGGGGACGACAGCAAACGGUUUCAUUGUGUGGCAUUUGGAGCAAGACACAGCUAUCGCACUGAGUCUGCCUCAUGGCGUUCGAAAUAUUUCUACUAGAAUAUUGAGCUCGAAUUCAUGUAUGCUUUCCGCUGCUCAUGAUUACGUGGUUGCUGGAGUAAGAAAAAAUUUAUAUGUCUGGGAGUUGAAAACAAAAGACUUGGUCAAAGUUUUGGAUGCUCAUUUUGGACGAAUAAUGUCUCUAGAGGCUUUGACAAUCGGCAAUUGGAACUCUGUGAUUACGUCUUCAAUCGAUAGAUCAGUGAAAGUAUGGAAUAUAAAUAAUAUUUUUGAACAAGUUCACGUCAUUGAUCGACAUGAAUUGCAGAUUGAUUCUGUCUGCAUAGCAAAAACUAUCGACAUCGCCGUGACGGUGACUCGUGGCUGCGUCGGAGUUUGGGAUUUACAGGUUGGUCGUCUGGUCGCUCAACUUGCUGACAGCCCUCUUGGUGCCAUCGUGACGCAUGCUCUCAUAACACCCGAUGGCAGGUAUAUUGUCUCUUCUGAAUCGGGAAACCUGCUAAUUUGGAAUAGAGCUACAGAGCAGGUUAUGUUCAGGGAGUCCCAACCAGGAAUCGAGCAGCUCACAUUCUUAGAGGAAGGAACGAGAGUUUUGGCAAUUUCCAAGCCUGUUCCGGCUGCAGGGGCGGAAGUUCCUGCUCGCACCUCCGCUACCGGCGUCACGAGAACAGUGCCAACUGGAAUGCGAAUGUUCUCAUUUGACUACCCUGUCCGAAAUAUUGCCGGCGUGCCUUUCAAGGAGGCUGUGGUUACGUGUGAUGAUCAAAAUAUUGUUGCUAUCGGAGCUGACAAAGGGCACAGGGAAGCUGUCUAUGUUUUCAACGCUCGAGCCGGUCAGCUAGUCUCCAAAAUACCACUGAGGAUACCAGGAGUGAAGGAUAUCAUGUUUUUGGUGCCAAUGCCUCACAAAGCCAACCUGAUUGCGAUGAUCGAUCCAGAGAAGGCAACCUUACUGGAUACCCGCAGUAACGCUGCUCGCGCACGCUACCGCGAUGGGGCGGCAACUGCACAAAAGACGGGAAUACGGGCUGUACGCACCAUCGAGAGGAGGACUUGA
rnacentral:lncRNA from 1 species